rnacentral:tRNA from 1 species
GGCCUUGUCAUCUAAUGGUUCAGGAUACAUGGUUCUCAACCAUGGCAUACGGGUUCGAAUCCCGUCGAGGCCGCCC